UACGUAGGGUCCGAGCGUUGUCCGGAUUUAUUGGGCGUAAAGAGCUCGUAGGCGGUUCCGUAAGUCAGAUGUGAAAACUCAGGGCUCAACCCGGAGACGCCAUCUGAUACUGCGGUGACUGGAGUCUGGUAGGGGAACACGGAAUUCCUGGUGUAGCGGUGAAAUGCGCAGAUAUCAGGAGGAACACCGAUGGCGAAGGCGGCUUGCUGGGCCUUACCUGACGCUGAGGAGCGAAAGCGUGGGGAGCGAACAGG
rnacentral:rRNA from 1 species